rnacentral:misc_RNA from 1 species
AAGUCGUGACAAGGUUUCCGUAGGUGAACCUGCGGAAGGAUCAUUCAUAGUAGGAGUUUUACUGCAAUUUUUAAACAAGUACUCACCUUGUGGGCAAUGUUUGCUGCUGCGUCGUUUACGCGUCGUGCCAACACAAUACCAACCUUUUAUUUAAACAAUUUUGUCCGAAGAUAUUUUGAAUAACUAAUUCUAAAUACAACUUUCAACAACGGUUCUCCUGGCUCUC